rnacentral:rRNA from 1 species
AUUGAACGCUGGCGGCAUGCUUUACACAUGCAAGUCGAACGGUAACAGGCCUUCGGGUGCUGACGAGUGGCGAACGGGUGAGUAAUGCAUCGGAACGUACCCAGAGGUGGGGGAUAACGCAGCGAAAGCUGUGCUAAUACAGCAUGUGAUCUGAGGAUGAAAGCGGGGGACCGAGCAGCAAUGUUUGGCCUCGCGCCUUUGGAGCGGCCGAUGUCGGAUUAGCUAGUUGGUGGGGUAAAGGCCUACCAAGGCGACGAUCCGUAGCUGGUCUGAGAGGACGACCAGCCACACUGGGACUGAGACACGGCCCAGACUCCUACGGGAGGCAGCAGUGGGGAAUUUUGGACAAUGGGCGCAAGCCUGAUCCAGCAAUGCCGCGUGCGGGAAGAAGGCCUUCGGGUUGUAAACCGCUUUUGGCAGGAACGAAACGGUGUCCGCUAAUACCGGGCGCUAAUGACGGUACCUGCAGAAUAAGCACCGGCUAACUACGUG